GCCUAGGGGGUCUGACUUUUUGCUCCUGGGGGCUGGGGACCAAGGGCACUGAGUCCCCCGGUGGGAGGGGCUGCCAGGGCCUCGAGGCUGGGCCAGGUGGGCGGACGCUCACAGGGGACCCGCUGGACGCUGGGGCGCGUAGGUCGGGGCGGAAGAGGAGCCUGGGUCUGGAGCCAGUGGAGCCGCCGCCGCCGCCGCCGCCGAGGAGGCCGAGCCGCUGCGUUCCCAGCCGGUGGGGACCGAGGGGCACCGGAUGGAGGCGGCGCUGACGUGCGACACCCAGGGCAUGCUUCCCCUGGAGAUACAGCUACACGAGGCCGCCCGGCGGAACCAGGUUGGGAGGAUGAAGGAGCUGAUCGCAAGGAAGGUUAACGUCCGGGUCAGAAACCAUGUGGGCAGAGUGGCCCUGCACUGGGCUGCUGGCGCAGGUCAUGAGCAGGCUGUGCGGCUGCUCCUGGAGCAUGGGGCGUCUGUGGACGAUGCGGAUGCGUUUGGAAUGAACGCGAUUCUCCUGUCUGCCUGGUUCGGCCACUUGCAGGUCCUCCAGAUCCUGGUCAACUCUGGAGCCAAGAUCCACUGUGAGAACAAGGACGGCCUGGCCUUACUGCACUGUGCAGCCCUGAGAGGCCACAUGCCUGUGCUGGCGUUCAUGAUGGAGGACCUGGAGGACGUGGCCCUUGAUCACCGGGACAAGCGGGGCAGAACGGCGUUUCACAAGGCUGCUGAGCACGGACAGCUGGAGGCUCUGGACUUCCUCGUGGGCUCGGGCUGUGACCACAGUGUCAGAGAUAAGGAGGGGAACACAGCUCUUCACCUGGCUGCUGGCCAGGGCCACACAGCAGUGCUGCAGCGACUCGUGGACAUCGGGCUGGACCUAGAGGAGCAGAAUGCCGAAGGCCUCACGGCCCUGCAUGCGGCUGCUGAAGGAACCCACCCAGAUUGCGUGCAGCGCCUGCUCGGUGCAGGGAGCCACGUGAAUGCCCUCACCCAGAAGAAGAUGAGCUGCCUCCACUAUGCGGCCCUCAGUGGCUCUGAGGCUGUGUGCCAGGCCCUCAUCCGUGCAGGAGGGUGCACCAAUGUGGCUGACUACCAGGGGACCUCUCCCCUACACCUUGCCGUGAGGCACAACUUCCCUGCCCUGGUUGAGCUCCUCAUCGACGCUCACAGUGACCUGAAUGCCAUCGACAAUAGGCAGCAGACACCCCUCCACCUGGCCGCGGAGCACGCCCGGCAGGAUGUGGCAGAGAUGCUCCUCAUUGCGGGGGUUGACCUGAACCUGCGAGAUAAGCAAGGGAAAACCGCCCUGGCAGUGGCCGCCCGCAGCAACCACAUCACCCUGGUGGACAUGAUCAUAAAAGCUGAUCGCCUCUACAGACGGGAGAAGGGGCCCCAGAGACCACCUGGGAAGAGCUUGACCUUCAGGCAGGACCAUGGGCAGGAAACGCAGCAGCUGCACUCUGUGCUGUGGCGCCUGGCCUCCAGGCACCUGCGGCCCCACGAGUGGAAGAAGCUGGCGUUCAGCUGGGAGUUCACUGAGGCCCACGUCUCUGCCAUCGAGCAGCAGUGGACAGGCACCAGGAGCUACCAGGAGCAUGGCCACCGGAUGCUGCUCAUCUGGCUGCACGGCAUGACCCUGGCUGGCAAGAACCCCAGCAAAGCGCUGUUCGAGGGCCUGGUGGCCAUUGGCAGGAGGGAUCUGGCUGAAAGCAUCAGGAAGAAAGUAAAUGCUGAGCCGAGGGCCCCCAGGAGCUGCAUGGCCAUGUGAGCACAGGCCCAGCCUUCCCACAUGGGGCUGGAGCGGGGCCACCCAAGAGCCAUGACUGCUGCCGUUGAAGAGCUUUGAAAUGCUCUCCGGGACAGGCCUCCAGCUUCUUCCACUGACUUCACAGUCACACAGAGACCAGCAGGCAAACAUUUGUCAUCUCUUUGAAGAGGAUGGUCCUGGGGCCUGUUUCAGAUUUUGCAGGUCAUCCUGUCACAGGGAAGGUGAAGGACAGUGAGGAAGGAGAGCCUAAAGCCAGAACGGUCCUUGUGGAGCCUUCUACUUCCUAGUUUUGAGUCUCUCCAUUUGGCCAUCUGGGAAACUUUCCCUUUCAAAGGCUCUGCAGGGAUCAAACUCAGGACCUUGUGAGGCAGGCGUGGUGUCACUGAGCUAAAUCCCCGGCGCCAGAUUGGUAUGUAGAAGAUCCCCUUGGUGGCCACUGAGCUCCCUCGAUUACCAGGAUCCCUCACCUUGAGCCCCUGGCCCCUCCAGUCCUCCCAGGUAGAGUCAGGGCCUGUCCCCUUCCGCCCACCAUGAGCCCUGGGCCUGCUUCAUUGUCAUAAUCUACUCACAUACCGUCUCCUCCACUAGCCUGGAGGCCCUAAUUUGCCUUCCCACGCUGCAUAUGUUGGGCAGGUUUUCCCGCUGUUUUGCUUUUCUGUAUUCUUAUCUAUAAAAUGGGAAUAGCAAUAAUAUUUGCUUCUUAAACUCUUGGAAGGAUUCAGUGAUGGCCAUACACAGGACCUAUUCAAUGAACUGGAGCACAUUGGCUGUCCAAAUGUGUUGGAUUCUAACAAUUUAAAUCCAAAAAAUUAUUUUCAAGGGGGUAUAAUCCACAAGUCUUAAUUAUAUAUGUGUAUGUUCAAUCACUGAAUCAGAAAUUAGUGGUCUAUUUUCUUUUUGAACUCGAGGCCACCACUCCUCUGCUAAUGUGAUAGAUUCCCUUUGUCUGCCCUUGAAGUUCAAAUACAAAGAAUCACAUAGUAUGUGUUCUCUUUGUUUUGGGCUUCUUUAAUUCAUCACUAUGCUGUUGAAAUUUGUUCCAGUCUUUGUGUGUAUCAGUAGCUUGUCCCUUUUUAUUGCCUCGAAUAUUCCAUUUUAUGAAUAUACCACCACUUAAGAACUCUGUUGAUGAACACUUGAGUUAACUUGCUGUUUGAAAUUAUUAUGAAUAAGGGUGCUAUGGACAUCUGUGCACAGGAUUUUCAUUGUGAGCUUAUCAUUUUACUUGGGUAAAAGUAAAAUGUUGCUUGGGUCAUAGAUUUUGUUUAACUUUUUAGGAAGCUGCCAAAGAGGUCUCUAAAGUGGGGUGUCAUCUCAAACUCCCACCACAGUGUGUGAGAGAGAGUUCCAGGUGUUCCAGAGCCGAGGCCGCAGUUGGUGCACUCACUCUUUCAUUGGCGCUGUUCUUGCUGGUGGGAACUGGCUUCUCCCUGUGGUGUUACUCUGAAUGCUACUGAUGGCUAUUGACGCUGGGUGCUUUCUCGUGUAUUCAUGGCCAUUUGCAUAUUGUUUAUGAAUAGUGGGUUCAUUUUUCCACACUUAAAAAUAAGACUGUUUUGGGGUUGGGGAUGUAGCUCAGCGGUGCUGCGCCUGCCUGGCAAGCACAAGGUCUUCAGUUUGAUCCCUAAUACCAAAAAAACCCCCAAAACCAAACUAUUUUUGGUUAUUAAUUUGUUGGGAGUUUAAAAAACAUAUUCUGGAAAGAAGUUCUUGGUAAGAAAUAAGUACUGUAUGAUAAAUAUUCUCCCAUUUUUCUCCUGCUUUUUCAUUUUUAAAAAAGAGCUUUGGGGGCCUGGGAUUUAGUUCAGUGGUUCUACCACUUGCCUCACAAGUGCAAGAACCUGAGUUCAAUUCCCGGUACCAAAAAAAAAAAAAAGAGCUUUGGGAGCUGGGAACUUAGCUGAGUAGUAGAGAAUAUACUUAGCAUGUAUGAGGCCCUGGCUUAGAUCCCCAGCCCUGCAAAAAUAAAUAAAGAAGUAAAUCAAUAAAGUGCUGAUACUUUUUGACAUACACACAAGUGUGCACUAUACAACUUGAAACUAACACCAUAGUCAUAGAAGUGAAUGUAUCUGUCACCCCAAAGUUUUCUGUGAGCCUUUGUAGUCUUCCCAAAUCCUAACAGUGGAGUGAAGAAAGGAGCUGGGGAUCCCCAAGUUUCAGUUCACCUAAAAUGAUUCGAGGUGUCUCAGCCUGGCACUGAGGUGACAUGUGAAUCUACGGUCUAGGGCAGUUGUGGCGAACCUGUGGCACCCAUGUCGCAGCGGGCUGUUUGUAUCAUUGAAAGCUCUAAAAGGUUUGCCAUCACUGCCUUAGACUAGUUUGUCUUUUGAAACCAAAGUGAAAAUCAAAGGUAGUUUGUGUUGUUGAUAACAUUAUUACUCUAUCCACUCUACUGAGAUUUUGAAAGUUUAUCAUCAUUAGGGCCAAGUUUAAAAACUGAAAAUAGAUCUCCCCCCCACCCCUGUACAUUUGGAUUGCUGGAAUCUAAAAUCCUGGGUGGGUGGAGUAGGAGAAUUCAGUGUUCAUCUUUGUGACACUACGUUUCCUAUUGGUUUCAUCAUUUUACAGAAGGGGAGACUGAAUGAAACUCAGGAGUAGGAAGUGACUUGCUGAAGGGGUGGGAGUAGGAUGGGGAGGACUGAUGGGUCCUGUUUGGGGAGACACAGCCAGCAGGGUGAUGGGUAGGCUGGGGCACAGUAUCUGUUAUGGUUUGGAUCGAGGAUGUUCCCCGAAGGUCUCACGUGCUCAUAGGCAUGGGGCUUUUGGAAGGUGAUGGAGUCAUGGGGGCUUCUAGCUGACUUGCUGAUGGGAAGUGGGGUCUGGUCCCCCAGCACCUGACCUGGAAGGGUGUAUCUCCCUCCCUGGAUCCUCCCUUCUCUUUGCUUCCUGGCUGCAACUUUCCUCCAAGGCCCUCUGUCAUGCUGGAUUCUGCCUUGGAGCCAACCAUGGACUACAUCCAUGAACCAAAAUGAAUGUCUUCUCCUUUAAGUUGUGCUCGUUGGGUAAAAAGUUAAUAGUAGCCAAAGUGAUUUGUUUUCAGAGUGGAUGAAAGGACCACACAGUCAGUCUCCUGAGUGCUGUGUGUAUUGCUUCACGGAACUCUCCCUACAAGGCUGCAAAUCAAAUCUUACAGAGGAGUUGGCAUAGGUGGCUGGUGACAGCUGGUGAUUGGGGCCCCUCUUACUUUAUUAGAGUCAUUUGACCCUAUGUCAUGUCCUACAAGAAGGAAGAUGAGAACUGGCAAAGAGCGGUGCUGUGACCAAGUUUUUUUU